ensembl:lncRNA
GGGCUGAGGAGGAGAGGAUACGAAAACUGGAGACUGUCCUCAACAGUGGCACCCAGCAGUCCAACAGCAAUCUGAAGUACUUUACUGGAGAGUGGUUUUAUGAGGCUAAGUCCAGCAGACACAUGGACAAGAUUCACGGAUCUGAACUCAUCCUGGCUUCCAUCAAACGGAGGAAGUCUGCUCUGGAUGGCUCCAUAAGAACUGAAAGAUCCAAAUCUCCCAAGAAUCAGGGCUCAGACCUGAUCCCUCCACCAAAACCUGCAAGAACCUGGGAUGCACUACAGCCACAGGAGAUGAACCCCACUGAAAAAGAAGCCCUCCAAAUUCGCUCCCCAAGAACGCCACGACACAACCCUUUUAACCGCGCCUCUCUCCUUGUGGUUGAUCCACCUGAAAAUACAGUAGAUGUUUCAAAUGGUGCAGAGAAACAAUAUCCAGGGAGUUGUCAAACCCCAGCUGGCUCUGUGACCUCUGAUGCUUCCUCUGCUGGUUUUCGGCCAGUACCCAAAAAGAGGACAUUUCUCUCCAGACGCUCCAGUGCUGCCCAGGGCCUGGAGACUUCGGGUCAUCCUGCCGGGGUUGUGCCUGCUCCAAGACGCAGCCUGCAAAAUGGUUCAAGUGGAAGCUCUCAACAGUCUAAUGUUAAGCCUCAAGAUAUAAGCACAAACACAGAUGCUACGUCACCAAAGCAAGUCACGGAGUCUUCUCAGGCUUGCUCUAGAUCUAAUUUGGAGGGAAAUGCACCUGCACCAGUGAAAAACCGUACUACCUCAUACAUCACAAGAGAUGAGGAAGCUGAGGAUGGACAGGACAAUCUCACACAAAAGCCACCUGUAACCACGGAAACGGUCCCCCCACUCAGCAACAAUAGCAUUCACCAUUCAGAGGGCAAGAACACCAGCAGUGUGGGGUCAGCAAGCAGGCAGGAGCUAAGCUUCACCCAAAGUAGUGUGGCUGCUGAGCCACCAGUAUCUUAUGAGCUGAAUUAUAUAGAUAAGUCUGAUCAACAAGUGCAAGCCAAAACUAAACAGGAACUUAGACUAAGCUCUCAGACAACCAGCCCCAACGGAGAGAAGGACGACUCCAUCACCAAGGUGCUGGACUGGUUUAGCCGCAGCACUGACAGCAGUAAUUGGCUCAACAACAAUGAUGAAAAGAUCACAAAAAGCUCUAGUGAUGUCUAUAAUCAACUCAACACAGAGGCACAUCCCGAAACUGGGAAGUCACAUGUCCCUAUAGAAAUACACAAACAACAGGAUACACUGGCAACAGCACCGCCACCACUUGAAGACAACAGUAAUGAAAAUCAACAUGCCAAAAUUUCUCAUCUGAAAUCUUUUUGGGAGAAAAGCAAUAGUGGAAACAAAAUAUUUAUCAGCAAAUCAAUCACAUCGAGUGACAAAGAAUCAAAGACCAGCAAAGAUGAAGAGCACUGUGAUAGCCAAUCAACUGCAAGCAUACAC